rnacentral:rRNA from 1 species
AGCGAACGCUGGCGGCAGGCCUAACACAUGCAAGUCGAACGAACCUUUCGGGGUUAGUGGCGGACGGGUGAGUAACACGUGGGAACGUGCCUUUAGGUUCGGAAUAACUCAGGGAAACUUGUGCUAAUACCGAAUGUGCCCUUCGGGGGAAAGAUUAAUCGCCUUUAGAGCGGCCCGCGUCUGAUUAGCUAGUUGGUUGAGGUAAUGGCUCACCAAGGCGACGAUCAGUAGCUGGUCUGAGAGGAUGAUCAGCCACAUUGGGACUGAGGCACGGCCCAAACUCCUACGGGAGGCAGCAGUGGGGAAUCUUGCGCAAUGGGCGAAAGCCUGACGCAGCCAUGCCGCGUGAAUGAUGAAGGUCUUAGGAUUGUAAAAUUCUUUCACCGGGGACGAUAAUGACGGUACCCGGAGAUGAAGCCCCGGCUAACUUCGUG